GCCUCGAUAGCUCAGUAGGGAGAGCGUUAGACUGAAGAUCUAAAUGUCAUUGGUUCAAUCCCGGCUCGAGGUA
rnacentral:tRNA from 1 species